rnacentral:lncRNA from 1 species
CCCCUUCUUUCCACGGCACGGUGCACCUUUGCCGGCCGUCGAGCUCGUCAGAAAAUCCAUAAAAAGCUGAACCUCUGUUUUGCCCUGUUUGGCCAGGCAAUCUUCCUCCUCUUUUUCGGCCAUCGACGCCGUCGUUUGCGGCUUCAAACCCUUAGGAUAGGACCCUUACCUCCUAACCUUGAUUCUCUAUGGGUUUUGGCCGUCGGCGACCGACCAAUGAUCGAAAAAUAAAGGUAAGGGGCGGAUUCCUUGUUUUUCUGAUUUUCUCUAAGUUUCUCGCCGGCCGAACCUCGUCGCCAGUCUCUCUUUGCUCUAUCAUCGUCGACCAGACACCGCCGUCCCUCAUCAGAGCUUAAGCCAUCGAGCCCCUUCCCUCUGGUCCUCCCCCUAU